UCCAUAGACGGUGAUGGUGCUCACCACAACUGCCUCAAGAAGGAUAAUGGCGCCUGCAAAUCA
rnacentral:ncRNA from 1 species